AGUGAACGCUGGCGGUAGGCCUAACACAUGCAAGUCGAACGGCAGCACAGUAAGAGCUUGCUCUUACGGGUGGCGAGUGGCGGAUGGGUGAGGAAUACAUCGGAAUCUACUUUUUCGUGGGGGAUAACGUAGGGAAACUUACGCUAAUACCGCAUACGACCUACGGGUGAAAGCAGGGGAUCUUCGGACCUUGCGCGAUUGAAUGAGCCGAUGUCGGAUUAGCUAGUUGGCGGGGUAAAGGCCCACCAAGGCGACGAUCCGUAGCUGGUCUGAGAGGAUGAUCAGCCACACUGGAACUGAGACACGGUCCAGACUCCUACGGGGGGCAGCAGUGGGGAAUAUUGGACAAUGGGCGCAAGCCUGAUCCAGCCAUACCGCGUGGGUGAAGAAGGCCUUCGGGUUGUAAAGCCCUUUUGUUGGGAAAGAAAAGCAGCAGGUUAAUACCCCGCUGUUCUGACGGUACCCAAAGAAUAAGCACCGGCUAACUUCGUG
rnacentral:rRNA from 1 species